rnacentral:tRNA from 1 species
UGCAAUAUAGCUCAGUUGGUGGAGUGCUUGCCUCACAUGCACAAGGCCCUGGGUUCAAUUCCCAGCAUCACAC